UCAAGCGUUACAAGGGCGUUUAGUGGAUGCCUUGGCGCGUAGAGGCGACGAAAGACGUGGUACGCUGCGAAAAGCUCGGGUGAGGUGCGAACAACCUUUGACCCCGAGAUCUCUGAAUGGGGAAACCCACCUUUACAGACCCUGAUAAUUAUCCUCAGUAAUGAGGGUGGUUUAUCAAGGUUUGUGUUAGGUAUUGAUAACUGAAUAUAUAGGUUAUUAAAGCAAACCCGGGGAACUGAAACAUCUCAGUACCCGGAGGAAAGGACAUCAACCGAGACUCCGUUAGUAGUGGCGAGCGAACGCGGAUCAGGCCAGUGGCUAUUUUAAACUAAUCUGAAUGUGUUGGGAAACACAGCCAUAGUGGGUGACAGCCCCGUAAGAGUGUUGUUUAAUUUAGUCCUCGAGUAGGGCGGGACACGUGAAAUCCUGUCUGAACAUGGGGGGACCAUCCUCCAAGCCUAAGUACUCCUACGCGACCGAUAGUGAACAAGUACCGUGAGGGAAAGGUGAAAAGCACCCCGACGAGGGGAGUGAAACAGUUCCUGAAACUGGACGUCUACAAGCUGUAGAAGCCACCUUGCGUGGCGACUGCGUACCUUUUGUAUAAUGGGUCAGCGACUUGGUCUAACUAGCAAGCUUAAGCCGAUAGGUGUAGGCGUAGCGAAAGCGAGUGUUAAUAGCGCGUCGAGUUAGUUGGAUCAGACCCGAAACCAGGUGAUCUAGUCAUGUGCAGGUUGAAGGUGAGGUAACACUCACUGGAGGACCGAACCCACCUAUGUUGAAAAAUGGGGGGAUGACGUGUGACUAGGGGUGAAAGGCCAAUCAAACCUGGAGAUAGCUGGUUCUCCGCGAAAUCUAUUUAGGUAGAGCGUCGAAUGAAUACCCUCGGGGGUAGAGCACUGGAUGGGCUAGGGGGACUCACCGUCUUACCAAACCUAACCAAACUCCGAAUACCGAGGAGUAAUAUUCGGCAGACACACUACGGGUGCUAAGGUCCGUAGUGGAAAGGGAAACAGCCCUGACCGCCGUCUAAGGUCCCUAAGUAAUAACUAAGUGGUAAAGAAUGUGAGAAUGCUUAGACAACCAGGAGGUUGGCUUAGAAGCAGCCAUCCUUUAAAGAUAGCGUAACAGCUCACUGGUCAAGCGUUCCUGCGUCGAAAAUGUACCGGGGCUUAAGUUAUUCACCGAAGACGCGGAUGCACACUUUUGUGUGCGUGGUAGCGGAGCGUUCCGUAAGCCUGUGAAGGGGUCCUGCGAGGGGCCUUGGAGGUAUCGGAAGUGAGAAUGCUGACAUGAGUAACGAUAAAAGGGGUGAGAGACCCCUUCGCCGAAAGAUCAAGGUUUCCUGCGCAAUGCUAAUCAGCGCAGGGUUAGCCGGCCCCUAAGGCAAGGCCGAAAGGCGUAGUCGAUGGGAACUCAGUUUAAUAUUACUGGGCCAUUGGGUGGUGACGGAUGACGUGUAUCGUAUUUCCUUAUUGGAUUGGAAGUGCGGUGAAGUUGUCCCAGGAAAUAGCCCCCAUUUAAGACCGUACCCCAAACCGACACAGGUGAUCAGGUAGAAGAUACCAAGGCGCUUGAGAGAACUCUGCUGAAGGAACUCGGCAAAUUACCUCCGUAACUUCGGGAGAAGGAGGCCCACCAUAAAGGCAACUUUUUGGUGGGGGCACAGACCAGGGGGUGGCGACUGUUUAUUAAAAACAUAGGGCUCUGCGAAGUCGUAAGACGACGUAUAGGGUCUGACGCCUGCCCGGUGCUGGAAGGUUAAAAGGAGGAGUGCAAGCUCCGAAUUGAAGCCCCAGUAAACGGCGGCCGUAACAAUAACGGUCCUAAGGUAGCGAAAUUCCUUGUCGGGUAAGUUCCGACCUGCACGAA
rnacentral:rRNA from 1 species